rnacentral:sRNA from 1 species
AGAAGCGACGUUCGAAGCGGUUCCCUUGGAUGGAACGGGGCGAAUGGGCCCAGCUAGUUGAUGACAACGUCGUAAUCGGAGCUGCAGCGGAUCCGGCCAAUCCAACUGCAGCUCUGUUUGCG